AUGGCCCAUGGGCCUGGCGCUGACGGACCCUGGAGCGGUGUCUGAGGGAGGUGGGCAAAGCCACUGGCUGGCCCGAGUGCAUCCUCACGUUUCAAGAUGGAUUGGAACCAAAGUUCACUUCUUUAACAAAAGUGCUUUAUGACUUUAAUAAAACAGUAGAGAAUGGUAGAAUCCAUGGCAGCCCUUUACAAAAACUUGUGAUAGAAAGUUUUGAUGAUGAGCAGACUUUGCAACAACUGGAAUUGCAAAAUGAAGCAAUUUUACAGUGCUUCCAGAAUGCGGUUAGUGAAAGAAAGAUGAAGAUAUCAGUCUUCUCCCAGAGAGUGAAGAACAGGAGCAUGAAGAGGCUGGUUCAGAAACAGAGGCUGAUGGCCAGGAGGACCUAGAAGAUUUAGAGGAGGAGGAGGACGUGUCAGAUAUGGGUGGUGACAAUCCUGAAAUGGGUGAGAGAGCUAAAAACUCAAGCAAUGAAUGACAAAAAUUACAUCUUUAGAAAAAGAGUUGUUAGAAAAAAGCCUUGGCUGCAUGUGGGGGAAGUGACAGCACAGAAGAGACCAGAGAAGAGCCUCCUGGAGGAGAGCCUGCACUUUGACCAUGCUGUCCGGAUGGGUGCAGUGCACCUUUCAACUGGAAGGUAUCAUUAAACAGAGGAUAAGAGAUCAGGUCAGUA
rnacentral:lncRNA from 1 species